ACUUUGGCUGAUCUUCAUCAGGCUCUUGAAGAUUACUUGCCUGUUCUUUUGGGAUUAGUUAAAGAUGGAAGCCAUCUACAACACAAGCUGCAGUUUGUGUGGAUAAAUCAAGAGGAUGACACAGAGGAAACAGCCAUGUCUAAUGCAUGGUAUGAGGUGUUGUCAGUUUUGCACUUAAUGGCAAUGCUAUUACUAUCACAGGCAAACUUGUUACUUCUUCCAAGAAUAUCCGCUGAUGGUUAUCAGCCAAAAGUAUCAGCAGAGAGCAG
rnacentral:misc_RNA from 1 species